CCUAAUCCUCUUUAUAAAAGGCCCUCUUUCCAAUCAUUAGGAACACAGAAAAAAGGGUGAAAAAACACAAACGGCUGAAAUCAGCUCUUUUCCAAAAAAUUCUGAAGAAAUUUUUUGAGUUCUGGCUAUUUUUGGAGUCAUUUGGUAGAGUUAUUCUAAAGCUGAAACAAAAUUUUGGUUUUUUGGAUUCGCUGAUAUUCGAUUUGAGCUGAGCUGCUGCAGACUUCUUUCUUCCUUUGAUCUGGUUUUUCCAUUUUCUUUUUUAGAUUGGCAAGCCAUAAACCAAGGUUAGAAUUUUAAAGGUUGUUAAAAGAAAAGGGCCUGGGAGUUGAUGAUUCAGUCGUGCUCCAUUGGAAUCAAUUGAAGUCCAUUUGGUACAAGUUCAAAUCCAAAAUUUGGCAUCUUGAGUUGGUAAUUGAAUAGAUGGCAGUGUUCUUCGCAUCAUCAGUUAGUUUUAAUUUAUUAGGGCAUGUAAAUUUAAAAUUCCCCUUUGAUUCAAGCUUCAUUAAGCCAUGGCAGUUUUGUAUAAUUUUAGUUCAAAUUGGGAUGUAAUUCAUGUAUUAUGGAAGUUUGGGUAAUUUGAAGUUUCGGAACUAUUUCCUUUUAAGCAAAAAUUUAUAAUUUUCCAUUGUUUAA